CACCAUGCACUUGGAACGCUUUGAAGUUGGAAGUCGGAUAUAUCAACUUGGAAAUUUCCCAGUUCCGAGCAGUCUGGAACGCAGCAUAACUCCUCCAUCCUCCAGAGCCACGUGCAUCAUACUAUUAUACUCUGUUUUCAGAGACUCCGACUACUCCCCAUGCUGAGAGGAGCCAAUCGCGGGCUUCAAGGUCAGUAACUACCUGGAGUUCAUGGAGGGACUGGAGCGCAGCUACAGAAACAUUGUUCUCUCCGACAUGAAAAGCAUCACUAACCCUGUCAAGUAAGAACAUGUUGAACCUUUCUGUGUUAAAGAACUUCUUUAAGUUUUAAUCUGCCUCAUCACAGCUUGGCUAAGAUUCAGUACAUACCUGAAUACAUCUCCUUGUGGCAACACUUCUCAACCACUUCCCACCAUAGCAUUUCUCCCACAAGCCUCCACUGUGCACUGUGACACACUGAACACCAUGUUUUCAUGUUGAUCAAGCCGCUUAGUGAGUCAAACUCGACAGAUGGGGAUGUAUCAAGGAUGAGAGCCUUGCCAUCAGAAUAAAGAUGCUCCAAUUCAUGACGAUGUUGAUGGAAAACCGAAUUUAGGGCACAGUUCUACAAAAUUGUUCUCUGAAAUGACAUACAAUUGCCUUCAAAGCAACAUCCUUGUCUAAAACAUGUCUUAUUGUCAUUAUAUCAUAACAAUACUACAAAAGUCCUACAAAGACAUUUGAACCUCAUAACUCAUGUUUGUUCCAUAAAAUUAAAGGAUUAAAGGAUGGUGAUAUUCUAUAUUAUUAUAUAUUAUUAAGUAUUUCCUUUAUAUCUGAGGCCUGAGACAUCGUAUUCCUCUGUGCCAUAGAGCUCCAUUGUAGUCCAAAAGCUAUUAUUACCAUGAACACACACACUGUAGUUAAUUUAAGUCGACCCCACAUACACCGUACUGCUGCUGCAAAUACUCAGAUACGAAAUGUGUCCUGCUCUCAAAUACAGUUUACUCCAGUUUGAGUAACAUUUUCUAAAAAAAUUUAGUGCCCAGCUAUUUAUGCUAAUUACUGAAUAUUUUUUUUAUGAAAUGAAACCUUAUAGUCUUGAAGCUUUUUCAAAGAUUCAUGUCCUUGAUAGUAACAAAUGGGCUUGUGGCUGAGGGAUGAGGCUUUGGAAAAUGUUGAGGACGACGACUUACACAUUUUUGGGAUUUGCUGAUGAACAGACAAAUACAGAAUACCGCCAUACUUUUCCUGCAUGUUCUACAUUACUGUGCAUGAUGUAAAUACUGUAUGUGAUGUUCAUAAACAGCUUUGAAAGUCUAAUAAUCAAAUGUUUUAUUUCUGUAUUUAUGCUUACCCUCAUGUAAAUAUCUAAGAUCUUUUGUAUGCAUUCAACAAGAUGUUCUUGUUCUUAGUACAGAAAGAAGCACAGAGUUGCAACUGAAUGGAUUUUGAUGCAGUGUGAAACAAAAGACUGUGUUGCACUUUCUGUGAUAAUAAAGCAUUUAUCCAGAUAAAUUAA